UGUCAAUCAAGGUGCAACAAGCAGUGUUCAACUCUGCAGAACAGCGGUCAUCAGCAGCAACACAACUGUCUUAACUGUGGAGACACAGCUGCAGGCUUUCAACAAGUUUAAGUGGUAUCUAACGGUAACUGUCAAUGGUACCCAUCACUUGAAACAUCUCAAGCAAGCACAAUGCCCUAUGACAGGAUUCUGUCCAUUCAAAAACUGAAUGAGGUCCCAAAUCCAUGGAAGGGGUUCACCAUGAACCGUUGCCUGGCGUUGACACUGGCCGUCCUGCUUGUGAGCGCUGGGGUCUACCAAUUGCACAAUGCUGUGGACAUGUUUGUGGAGGAGACAGGUCUGAAGUCUUUCUACGGAAGUUUGCAAGAUGGUUCAAUAAUGCAGAUUUCCCUGUGGGACACGUUCAUGUGGUGGUGGGGAUCUGAAGAACUCGGAGCGAUAAGAAAACGGAAAAAACCCAUUGGCAGUAAAACCAUCCUGAAACCUAAAACUACAAAACAAUAGCAGUUUAUAAAUGUUAGUCAACAAGUUAGCAUAGUUUGCAUUUAAUGAUAAUUGUUUAGUAUUCUCGAGAGUAUUAAUGUACAUUAAUGGCUGAUAGCAUCACAACAACACCGUCAGUGUUUCCCACAGGACUGCAGUCUAUUCGUGGUGGUGAGUUGGGGUGGGGCACUAAUUGAUGUAAUUGUCUAAUUUGCAUCAUUGGCCAUGAAAAGCAAAACAAGUAUGUUAUUAAAUACAAAUUAACUUUCUUCUACUGCUUGUUUUUGUCAUUUUUGUAAAUGAAUACUUAAGUACCGGUAGUAGUUAGUAAGUAGUAUUUAGAAACACUGAUCCCUCCUGCUACAUCUUAUUUUCUGUCCAACCAGGUGCAUAUAAGGUGUAUUACGAAGCAGAGUUACGUACGAAAUUGUGACUGUCCAAAUUUAUUUGUGGCGACCCACCACAAAUAAAUGAAUGCAUGGGAAACACUGACUAUGUUAACACACAAGUAGUGAAAAGAGUGAUUACAGUGAAGAUUAUAUGAAGGAAUUUUUAAAAAUAUGUUGCUAUCUGCACCAGUGUAUUAUUACUACUUUGUGAAUAUUGUGAAUAAAUACAUGGAAAGAAAAGAACCCACUAUAGGCGGAACACCUCAUAUUGGUUCGGAUUAGAUAGUGUAUCUAAUGUUGUGUCUGAUGAGCGUAUAUCAGCCAUCUCAGCUUUUAGCGACAGCCACACUCCUUCGCCACCACAUCGCCGAAGACAGAGAGAAACGUCCCAUGCUGGUUCAAGUCCACCACCUCCAGGGAAUCAUAGGCCACCGGCACACAGCACGGCGCCCGCUCUUGCACGUUUCCGUUCUCAAUGUGGAAGUUGACCAACACGGCGUGGCUUUUGGUGUUGACCAGUGGUACCGUGCACUGACCUUGACAGUUUUUGAUGUCGGCAGUGUCCGGGCCGACAAGGUACCUUUCGAGGGACACUGUGAGGCUCCUCAGGCCACACACCUUCCUCGGGCCGCUGGGUUCAGCUCUGGUGGCCCUCAGUUGUGGCAACAUCUCCCGGCCCACCGUCUUCAGGGCUUUCAACAGAAGAAACGCGCAGUACUGGCUUUCUCCUGUGUGAGGUGGAAGACACAGCAACAGCCACACUGCUAAAUACAAGGAGAGUGGUACAGUAUCUUACACUUAAACUACCUCACACUGUUCCCAUGAGCCUUUGUUUCCAGUAUCACAUCUUCAAACAAUCUUGUGUUCCUGGUAGGGGUGUCACAAGAUCUCGCGAGAUUAAAACGUGACAAGAUUUGUCGUUCAGGAAAAAAAACACUGUCUCAAAGGCACUAAGCCUGGGACGAUAAUAAAUAACACAAUAAAUGAAAAUGAACUGGAUAAUUUUUCAUUGUGCUCUUCUUAAGAGUAAUGUUAAAAUCUUGUGUCGUCCUCGUAGACCCAAUCUCGUGUAUCAUCUCGUCCCAUGAACUGAGUGUCUUGUGGCACCCCUAGUUCUUAGUGUUUUGUAUUUCAUGUGACCUGUACUUGCAGUGUUCUAUCUGCCCACAAUUCCAUAUUAACAUAUGUUGUUUAGUUCUUACGAUCUGGUUAUUUAUGUUUCAUAUUCUCAUGAUCCUAUUGUCCCCUCAUUAUGAUACAGUCGUUUCAAUGAUGAUAUUUUGCUAGUUUCCUAUCAUGCUUCUAUUAUCCUGUGUUGUCCAUGUCCCUUUUGUGGUUCAAACCAAUGGCCUCAGUAUCUACUGUUCCCAUGACCCCAUGUGUGUCCUGUUUCAAAUGACCUGUGCUCAAGAGUUCUCUGUUGUCAUAAUCAUAGAGUCAAUUUGUUCCCAAAGUUCUAUUAGUGGGUCCCAUGAACAUGGGAACACAGUGUAUCAAUGAUAAGGUUUUGCUAGUGUCCUGUGUUCCUAUGCUCCAGUGUUACAAAUGUCCUAUGUUCCCACUGCCUUCUAAGUUCCCAUUCACCAUAUACAGUACAGUCAUUUUUCACAAGACCCUAUGAUCUAGUAUCUCAUACUGUAUGCCUAAUGGCUUAUGAUCCCAUGACGCUGGAAACAUUAUGUCCCAUGUUUUAAUGAGCCUGCUUUGCUAAUGCCCUAUGGUCUUACCAUCUAGGGCUCCCAAUGACCUAUGUUUCUAGUGGUCUGUACUUUCAACAGCCUUUUUCCCCAUUUCCCAAUGUUACAUGUUUGUAUGUUCCCACAAUCUGAUUAUGAUUCAUUUAAAAUGUGAAAAAGGAGUAUUUUCUGUACCUGAGGGCAGGUCCACCUUGGGAAAGGCACAGAGUUCCAAGAGCCUCUCCAGCCUCUUGAUGCUCCU